rnacentral:rRNA from 1 species
GACGAACGCUGGCGGCGUGCCUAAUACAUGCAAGUUGAGCGCUGAAGGUUGGUACUUGUACCAACUGGAUGAGCAGCGAACGGGUGAGUAACGCGUGGGGAAUCUGCCUUUGAGCGGGGGACAACAUUUGGAAACGAAUGCUAAUACCGCAUAAAAACUUUAAACACAAGUUUUAAGUUUGAAAGAUGCAAUUGCAUCACUCAAAGAUGAUCCCGCGUUGUAUUAGCUAGUUGGUGAGGUAAAGGCUCACCAAGGCGAUGAUACAUAGCCGACCUGAGAGGGUGAUCGGCCACAUUGAGACUGAGACACGGCCCAAAUUCCUACGGGAGGCAGCAGGAGGGAAUCUUCGGCAAUGGACGAAAGUCUGACCGAGCAACGCCGCGUGAGUGAAGAAGGAUUUCGGAUCGUAAAACUCUGUUGGUAGAGAAGAACGUUGGUGAGAGUGGAAAGCUCAUCAAGUGACGGUAACUACCCAGAAAGGGACGGCUAACUACGUG